CAGUAUUUAGGAUAUGUGAAUUUGUAUAACUGAGUCUUAACUACAACUCUAAUGAUUUUUUUUUGUAUUAUUAGGUCAAACUAUUAUUUGAGAGUAUUCCUUAGCAGUCAUUUCCCAUCUCUCAACUUGAAGGGAGAAGGCACCCAAGGGGCCCCAAACUGCACUCCAAGCCAGGAAUCCACAAUUCAGAAUACAUGAAAUGCCAAAGAAUGACAAAUGCAAACUGCACAAGAGAGAACAGAGGUAUGUUUGGCAAUCAUUCUGUGGUGGAUCCUCCCUCCUACAAAGAAUUCAUGGCAUUUCUGAUACCUGCUCUGAGCAGAACUCAGUGAGCCAGUAAACAGACAUGCAACUGGAGUUUUAUGGUUAGAAAAGCUGCUCAGUAGUGCCUGAGCAUAGUGAAAUUCUUCAUUUGUAAAGCAGAAAUUACAUUUUCAACAUCCACAGCCAGCACACCGCUUUAGCACAGGACUGUAAAUAAGUACAUGUAAUAGAGUGUAACAGAGUGUUCGUGUUACAGUGUUCGUGUUGCAGUGUUAAUGUAAGAGUGUUCAU